CGUGGGUAAUCUGCCCUUAGGUUUGGGAUAACCCCGGGAAACCGGAGCUAAUACUGAAUGAGACCACGAUGACUUCGGUCGAUGUGGGAAAAGGUGGCCUCUCCUUGGAAGCUACCGCCAAAGGAUGAGCCCGCGUUUGAUUAGCUUGUUGGUGAGGUAACGGCUCACCAAGGCUACGAUCAAUAGCUGGUCUGAGAGGAUGAUCAGCCACACUGGAACUGAGACACGGUCCAG
rnacentral:rRNA from 1 species